CAUAAAAAGGUCACCUCCAAAGUGGCGCAGAGCACUGAAUGCAUCUUUAAGAAUAAAGUUGGUGCCGGCGGAAGGUUCCGGAAGAAAAGCUGCUAAGCGCAGCUCAAGACCUGUCUUUUUGCAGGCGCCCAGGUAUCUGUUACAAGGUUUUUCGGAUAGCGCUGCUGGCCUAUCUGUUGGUCAUGGGAGGCUGACCUUGUGUUGUUGUGUCCGUGGAUGUGUGUGUGUGUGUGUGUUUGAAACUCUCUUCCCUUCAUGAAUUAACUCCUGAACUAUUGACUUUCCCUCCAGGCCGAACGGCACACAAAGUUCAGCCACAUCCUGCAUGCAAGCUGCAUCUCUCCUCUGGCCCAAGAAUGCUCAAGGACAAGUAAAUACUUCUGCAAUCAAGUCGUAAAACUGACCCCUCAUAAAAUGAGCCAAAUGGCCUUAGUCAUUUGAAAGAGAGAGAGAGAGAGAGAGAGUAUCUGACGAAGGGUCCCGAGUGGCCUGGGGAAAUCACCUUGUUCUGAAUCAAACCAAGUAUUAUCGGGCAACCAGUGUCUGGAUGGCCUUGGGUAGGGUGGCCAAGGAAGGACAUUCCUCCUUUCCAAGGGCCAACAGAAGAUCAUCUUUGUUUUCACAUCAUCCUCUGUUUGAAGACUUGGUCUCUCGGAGCCCAAUUUAACAAGAACGAACCACAGGAGGGGAGAUCAGAGGCCUCAUUCAUAACGAGCAGCCCCUCUGGACAGCGCAAGAGAAGACAGUUUACCCGAUCAAGAUCAGCUGCACUUGACUCUGAAGCAUUUUUCUUCCAGUUCAAUUAUAAAAAAAUUACGGUAAAUAAAUUGUAAUUCCACCUUGUUAUAUAUAAAUUAGCACAUGUACUUAGUUUGUCUUGCUUUUUUUCCUAGUGAUGUGUAAGGGGCUCUCCCAAAAGACAGGUGGGGAGAUAUGUAGUAAGUGUUAAUUGUACCGUAUUCUUCCACGUAUAAGACUAUACUUUUGUCUAAAAUCUUUAGACUAAAAAUUGAGGGUCAUCUUAUACACGGAAGUAAGCUGAGGAGAGAACAAAAACAAGUGGAGGGGAAAGCAGAGAUCAAAUUGAUCCUGCAGUGCUUUGAACCCUUUCCCCCUGCACUUGCUAAGCCCCACUUAGAUUUCUUAAUUUUGGGUUAGAAAAGUGUGUGGGGGUCUUAUACAUGGGGGUGUCUUAUAUACAGAAAAAUACGGU
rnacentral:lncRNA from 1 species